UCCCACUGGCCAGUUAAACAGAAUUUCUGGGAGUAGGCCCAGGUAUCUGUGUUUUGCUUUUGGUUUUGUUUUGUUUGUUUAGAGACAGGAUCUUGCUCUGUCACCCAUGUUGAAGUGCAGUGGUGCAAUCACAGCUCACUACCGCAGCCUUGAACUCCUGGGCUCAAGGGAUCCUCCCACCUCAGCCUCCCAAGUAGCCUCCCAAGGACUACAGGCAUGCACCACCACGCCCAGCUAAUUUAUUUAUUUUUUGUAGAAACAGAAUUUUACUACGUUGCCCAGGCUGGUCUUGAACUCCUCGUCUCAAGGGAUCCUCCUGCCUCAGCCUCCCAAAGUGCUGGAAUUACAGGUGUAAGCCACCCCGCCCAGCCUGUAUCUGCAUUCUUGAAGGCUCUCCCGGUGAUUCCCAAGAGCAGCCAGUAUUGAGAGCCGGGGACAGAAGGACUUAACCAUCCUGGGGCACAUGGCAGAAUUGCAUUUCCUAGCUCCCUGAGAUUAGGUGACUGUGUGGCUUGGUCUCGACAAUGGGAAUGUGAACAGAGAUGGUGUCACUUCUGUGAGAGAAUAUCAGGAGCGAGAGUGAUUUGCUGCAGUAUUUUGACUUCUGUGCUGUCAAUCAAUAACAUCUCAGAUGGAAGUUUCUCCGACACUGGGGUGCUAGAAGGAAAACGACGUGGAGCAGAGAACCAGCCAGUUUGUGAUAAACAUUUACAAUAAGCAGUCUAAUAAACAAACAACAUUUUUAAGUGCUUUUUUCUUUUUCUUUUCUUUUCUUUUUUUUUUUGGGAGGCAGAGUUUCACCCUUGUCGCCCAGGCUGGAGGGCAGAGGCAUGAUCUCGGCUCACUGCAACCUCCACCUCCCGGAUUCAGGCGAUUCUCCUGCCUCGGUCUCCUGAGUAGCUGGGAUUAUAGGCACCUGUCUCCAUGCCUGGCUAAUUUUUUGUAUUUUUACCAGAGACAGGGUUUUGUCGUGAUGGCCAGGCUGGUCUCAAACUCCUAACCUCAGGUGAUCCACCAGCCUUGGCCUCCCAGCAUGUUGGGAUUACAGGCGUGAGCCACUGUGCCCAGCAGCUUUUUUCGUUUAGAUGCCAGGAUUCAGGUAGUUAUUUGUUACCACGGUAUAACCUAGCCCAUCCUAACAAAUAUGGGAGUGGAUCAUUUGUCCUCUUGCCUGGCCCCUGUCACUUCUUCUCUGGGACUAAGAAGGAUUAGGAAAGAGACAUAAAAGUUCAUAUGUACCCCGUAGGGACUGCUCAGAGAUGGGAGCAGAAAGAGGAGAUCUUAGAACCAGACGUGAUGACUGUCAGAGUGAAGUCCCAUGCCCUCACCCCAACCCUUUCCUUCCAUUUAUAUCUUCAUUUUUUUCACACAACAAACACUAAAUAAAAGCCACACACUCUAGACCUGAGUGUUGUAUUCG
rnacentral:lncRNA from 10 species